GCCGCGUGAGUGAUGAAGGCCUUCGGGUUGUAAAGCUCUUUUACCAGGGAUGAUAAUGACAGUACCUGGAGAAUAAGCUCCGGCUAACUCCGUGCCAGCAGCCGCGGUAAUACUGAGGGAGCUAGCGUUGUUCGGAAUUACUGGGCGUAAAGCGCACGUAGGCGGCUUUUCAAGUCAGGGGUGAAAUCCCGGGGCUCAACCCCGGAACUGCCCUUGAAACUGGAUGGCUAGAAUACUGGAGAGGUGAGUGGAAUUCCGAGUGUAGAGGUGAAAUUCGUAGAUAUUCGGAAGAACACCAGUGGCGAAGGCGACUCACUGGACAGUUAUUGACGCUGAGGUGCGAAAGCGUGGGGAGCAAACAGGAUUAAAUACCCUGGUAGUCCACGCCGUAAACGAUGAUAACUAGCUGUCCGGGCUCAUGGAGCUUGGGUGGCGCAGCUAACGCAUUAAGUUAUCCGCCUGGGGAGUACGGUCGCAAGAUUAAAACUCAAAGGAAUUGACGGGGGCCUGCACAAGCGGUGGAGCAUGUGGUUUCAUUCGAAACAACGCGCAUAACCUUACCAGCCUUUGACAUCCUAGGACGACUUCUGGAUACAGAUUUCUUCCC
rnacentral:rRNA from 1 species